GUUUCAGGUCCAAGGCUCUGAUGUCCACCUUCUUAAACUCUGUCACCAGCUGGGAUCUUCUGAUGCUUUGAUUUCUGCAUAAAAACUAAAAGAAGUCCAAUAAAGCCCGGACUUCACUGUGGCUCCACUUCUCUGGCUCUGGCUCCAUUUUGGUAAAUGUGAAGGUAGAAAGUGUGUGUGAGCUGAUGUGGAUGUGAAUUC